GGGAGCGCGGCGCUGCCCAGGCCCCGAGGCACCGGCGGCGGCCCCCGGCUGCCUGCGGCGCUCGGCGGGGCCGGGGCUGGGCGGGGCCGGACGUGAGCGCACUUCCGCGGGGCGCCGCCAUGGCCGCAAAGAGUCCUGCUGACAGUACCCCAAGAAGACCUGUUUUAUCUGUCAGUGCAAGAAAAAUUAAAGAUAAUGCAGCAGACUGGCAUAAUUUAAUGAUGAAAUGGGAGAGACUGAAUGAUAAUGGAUUUACUACUGCAAACAAAAUAGUCAACAUGAAGAUCAGUGAGCAAUUUCAAGAUAACAAACUGGAGAUAGCAUGCGAUAACAGUGCUACAGAAUCUGAAAAGCCAGCUCCAAAAUACAAUGAAGAAUUGGACAAAUGCUGUGCAGAACUACUAGAGACCUUAAAGCAUAUGACAAAAAUACAGCUGAAAAUGGAAAAGCUCUCUUCGACUACUAAAGCAAUCUGUGACUUGGAAACAUUCCACCACAGAGCUGGGAAUUGCACAGCACCCCUAUUUCACACGUGGCCAACACCGUACUUCUAUGAGGUUUCGCUGAAGCUCUCUGAAAUGUACAAGAAGGAACUACAACUCAAGAAAACAAUUGUAGAAGAAAUUGCUCAUUCUGCUGACCAGGAUCUGAUUAUGGUCUAUUUAUCAUCAUGGUUAUACCAGCCUUAUAUUGACAACAGCAGCAAACUACUGCUUGAAGCCAUGCUGCUGGAAACAGGACACAGGCAGUGCUAGAACUUCAAAUGUUGCUCGCCUUGCUUCUAAUGAUGCUUAUGUGAAACUGAAAUGGCAAAUUUGCAGGGCUCACCAAGCAACAACUGUAUCAGCUCUUACUGCAAGCUAAAGAAGAGAGAACUUUACUUUGAACAGAAACUUUAUUUAAAUUGACCAGCUUAAGACAUCACAGAAAAAUGCAGCUGAAGUUGCUUCCGACCCAGAGAGUCAAGUUUCAAAGCGUUCAGUCGGCAGGGAUAAGUUAAGCCUCACUUUCAAAACCUGCUCUAGGAAAUGCUGUGGUCCACUGUUCAAUUCCAAAUAGUUUUACCACAAAAAAAAAAGUUUCAGUAACAGAAAUUGACAAAGCAGAUGAUGUCUUGCUGUCUGUCAUGCAAAAGGCUAUAUAGAAUGAACAAUGUAGCAUUCUUAUAUGAAGA